rnacentral:snRNA from 1 species
AGCCAUGUGUUGAGCACAGAGCGAACUAUUCUUUCGCCUUUUACUAAAGAAUACCGUGUGCGCGGCACUCUAAGUGGCAUACGCCUAUUUUUGGAAGGGUUGCACCUCU